rnacentral:rRNA from 1 species
UACGUAGGGGGCAAGCGUUGUCCGGAUUUAUUGGGCGUAAAGAGCGUGUAGGCGGCCAUGUAGGUCCGUUGUGAAAACUCGAGGCUCAACCUCGAGACGCCGAUGGAAACCAUGUGGCUAGAGUCCGGAAGAGGAGAGUGGAAUUCCUGGUGUAGCGGUGAAAUGCGCAGAUAUCAGGAAGAACACCCGUGGCUAAGGCGGCUCUCUAGUACGGUACUGACGCUGAGGUGCGAAAGCGUGGGGAGCAAACGGG